rnacentral:rRNA from 1 species
CUGGCGGCAGGCCUAACACAUGCAAGUCGAACGGUAACAGGAAGCAGCUUGCUGCUUCGCUGACGAGUGGCGGACGGGUGAGUAAUGUCUGGGAAACUGCCUGAUGGAGGGGGAUAACUACUGGAAACGGUAGCUAAUACCGCAUAACGUCGCAAGACCAAAGAGGGGGACCUUCGGGCCUCUUGCCAUCGGAUGUGCCCAGAUGGGAUUAGCUAGUAGGUGGGGUAACGGCUCACCUAGGCGACGAUCCCUAGCUGGUCUGAGAGGAUGACCAGCCACACUGGAACUGAGACACGGUCCAGACUCCUACGGGAGGCAGCAGUGGGGAAUAUUGCACAAUGGGCGCAAGCCUGAUGCAGCCAUGCCGCGUGUAUGAAGAAGGCCUUCGGGUUGUAAAGUACUUUCAGCGGGGAGGAAGGGAGUAAAGUUAAUACCUUUGCUCAUUGACGUUACCCGCAGAAGAAGCACCGGCUAACUCCGUGCCAGCAGCCGCGGUAAUACGGAGGGAGCAAGCGUUAAUCGGAAUUACUGGGCGUAAAGCGCACGCAGGCGGUUUGUUAAGUCAGAUGUGAAAUCCCCGGGCUCAACCUGGGAACUGCAUCUGAUACUGGCAAGCUUGAGUCUCGUAGAGGGGGGUAGAAUUCCAGGUGUAGCGGUGAAAUGCGUAGAGAUCUGGAGGAAUACCGGUGGCGAAGGCGGCCCCCUGGACGAAGACUGACGCUCAGGUGCGAAAGCGUGGGGAGCAAACAGGAUUAGAUACCCUGGUAGUCCACGCCGUAAACGAUGUCGACUUGGAGGUUGUGCCCUUGAGGCGUGGCUUCCGGAGCUAACGCGUUAAGUCGACCGCCUGGGGAGUACGGCCGCAAGGUUAAAACUCAAAUGAAUUGACGGGGGCCCGCACAAGCGGUGGAGCAUGUGGUUUAAUUCGAUGCAACGCGAAGAACCUUACCUGGUCUUGACAUCCACGGAAGUUUUCAGAGAUGAGAAUGUGCCUUCGGGAACCGUGAGACAGGUGCUGCAUGGCUGUCGUCAGCUCGUGUUGUGAAAUGUUGGGUUAAGUCCCGCAACGAGCGCAACCCUUAUCCUUUGUUGCCAGCGGUCCGGCCGGGAACUCAAAGGAGACUGCCAGUGAUAAACUGGAGGAAGGUGGGGAUGACGUCAAGUCAUCAUGGCCCUUACGACCAGGGCUACACACGUGCUACAAUGGCGCAUACAAAGAGAAGCGACCUCGCGAGAGCAAGCGGACCUCAUAAAGUGCGUCGUAGUCCGGAUUGGAGUCUGCAACUCGACUCCAUGAAGUCGGAAUCGCUAGUAAUCGUGGAUCAGAAUGCCACGGUGAAUACGUUCCCGGGCCUUGUAC